rnacentral:rRNA from 1 species
AGGAAUCUGCCUGGUAGUGGGGGAUAACGUUCGGAAACGGACGCUAAUACCGCAUACGUCCUACGGGAGAAAGCAGGGGACCUUCGGGCCUUGCGCUAUCAGAUGAGCCUAGGUCGGAUUAGCUAGUUGGUGAGGUAAUGGCUCACCAAGGCGACGAUCCGUAACUGGUCUGAGAGGAUGAUCAGUCACACUGGAACUGAGACACGGUCCAGACUCCUACGGGAGGCAGCAGUGGGGAAUAUUGGACAAUGGGCGAAAGCCUGAUCCAGCCAUGCCGCGUGUGUGAAGAAGGUCUUCGGAUUGUAAAGCACUUUAAGUUGGGAGGAAGGGCAUUAACCUAAUACGUUAGUGUUUUGACGUUACCGACAGAAUAAGCACCGGCUAACUCUGUGCCAGCAGCCGCGGUAAUACAGAGGGUGCAAGCGUUAAUCGGAAUUACUGGGCGUAAAGCGCGCGUAGGUGGUUUGUUAAGUUGGAUGUGAAAUCCCCGGGCUCAACCUGGGAACUGCAUUCAAAACUGACUGACUAGAGUAUGGUAGAGGGUGGUGGAAUUUCCUGUGUAGCGGUGAAAUGCGUAGAUAUAGGAAGGAACACCAGUGGCGAAGGCGACCACCUGGACUAAUACUGACACUGAGGUGCGAAAGCGUGGGGGAGCAAACAGGAUUAGAUACCCUGGUGGUCCACGGCGUAAACGAUUUCAACUAGCCGUUGGAAGCCUUGAGCUUUUAGUGGCCCAGCUACCGCAUUAAGUUGUCCCCCUGGGGAGUACGGCCCCAAGGUUAAAACUCAAAUGAAUUGACGGGGGGCCCGCCACAAGCGGUGGAGCAUGUGGUUUAAUUCGAAGCAACGCGAAGAACCUUACCAGGCCUUGACAUCCAAUGAACUUUCUAGAGAUAGAUUGGUGCCUUCGGGAACAUUGAGACAGGUGCUGCAUGGCUGUCGUCAGCUCGUGUCGUGAGAUUUUGGGUUAAGUCCCGUAACGAGCGCAACCCUUGUCCUUAGUUACCAGCACGUAAUGGUGGGCACUCUAAGGAGACUGCCGGUGACAAACCGGAGGAAGGUGGGGAUGACGUCAAGUCAUCAUGGCCCUUACGGCCUGGGCUACACACGUGCUACAAUGGUCGGUACAGAGGGUUGCCAAGCCGCGAGGUGGAGCUAAUCCCACAAAACCGAUCGUAGUCCGGAUCGCAGUCUGCAACUCGACUGCGUGAAGUCGGAAUCGCUAGUAAUCGCGAAUCAGAAUGUCGCGGUGAAUACGUUCCCGGGCCUUGUACACACCGCCCGUCACACCAUGGGAGUGGGUUGCACCAGAAGUAGCUAGUCUAACCUUCGGGAGGACGGUUACCACGGUGUGAUUCAUGACUGGGGUGAAGUCGUA